CGCGUCGCGCGGUACGGUCGAUCCGAUAUCGACGACGGCGACACGGAAGCCGGUGGGAAUCCGGCACGGUCGCGCCACUGUAUGAGGGACCCCCAGGGGCUCGCGAGUCAGACCCGUGGCCGUCGUCAUGUGCAC
rnacentral:ncRNA from 2 species